GUGAAUCAUCGAAUCUUUGAACGCAAAUUGCGCCUUUUGCGGAAGGCGUGACCGUUUGAGGGCACCAUUUAACAAAUAAUGUGCAGAGCUUUUUGUUGCACACGUGGAUGAGCUUUCCAAGAAUUGUAAAUUUUUGGUGGCGCAUAAUGAACAGCGUGAAAGUUGUUUUCAGUUCGAGUGUAGUAAAAUCGUUGCUUGGGAUGAGAGAUAACAUAAUCGCGCAAUGGGUGUGG
rnacentral:misc_RNA from 1 species